AUUGAACGCUGGCGGCAGGCCUAACACAUGCAAGUCGAGCGAGCAGCGGACGGGUGAGUAAUGUAUGGGGAUCUGCCUGAUGGAGGGGGAUAAAUACUGGAACCGGUAGCUAAUACCGCAUACCAUCAGAUGAACCCAUAUGGGAUUAGAUUGUAGGUGCGGUAACGGCUCACCUAGGCGACGAUCCCUACAUGGUCUGAGAGGAUGAGCAGCCACACUGGUACUUAGACAACGCCCAGACUCCUACGGGAGGCAGCAGUGGGGAAUAUUGCACAAGGGGCGCAAUCCUGAUGCAGCCAUGCCGCGUGUAUGAAGAAGGCCUUCGGGUUGUAAAGUACUUUCAGUCGGGAGGCGUUACCGACAGAAGAAGCACCGGCUAACUCCGUGCCAGCAGCCGCGGUAAUAC
rnacentral:rRNA from 1 species